rnacentral:rRNA from 1 species
UUCCAGAGAUGGAUUGGUGCCUUCGGGAACUGUGAGACAGGUGCUGCAUGGCUGUCGUCAGCUCGUGUUGUGAAAUGUUGGGUUAAGUCCCGCAACGAGCGCAACCCUUAUCCUUUGUUGCCAGCGGUCCGGCCGGGAACUCAAAGGAGACUGCCAGUGAUAAACUGGAGGAAGGUGGGGAUGACGUCAAGUCAUCAUGGCCCUUACGACCAGGGCUACACACGUGCUACAAUGGCGCAUACAAAGAGAAGCGACCUCGCGAGAGCAAGCGGACCUCAUAAAGUGCGUCGUAGUCCGGACUGGAGUCUGCAACUCGACUCCAUGAAGUCGGAAUCGCUAGUAAUCGUGGAUCAGAAUGCCACGGUGAAUACGUUCCCGGGCCUUGUACACACCGCCCGUCACACCAUGGGAGUGGGUUGCAAAAGAAGUAGGUAGCUUAACCUUCGGGAGGGCGCUUACCACUUUGUGAUUCAUGACUGGGGUGAAGUCGUAACAAGGUAACCGUAGGGGAACCUGCGGUUGGA